GUGCCAGCAGCCGCGGUAAGACAGAGGGUGCAAACGUUGUUCGGAAUUACUGGGCGUAAAGCGCGUGUAGGCUGCUCGGAAAGUCGGGUGUGAAAGCCCUGGGCUCAACCUAGGAAGUGCACUCGAAACUUCCGAGCUGGAGUGCUGGAGAGGAAGGCGGAAUUCUCGGUGUAGAGGUGAAAUUCGUAGAUAUCGAGAGGAACACCGGUGGCGAAGGCGGCCUUCUGGACAGCCACUGACGCUGAGACGCGAAAGCGUGGGGAGCAAACAGGAUUAGAUACCCGUGUAGUCC
rnacentral:rRNA from 1 species